GGGGAGAGACGCCCCAACGUUCGCCGAAGGGUCGGAUCCUACCGCCACGGACCCAAGACUAUUAUAAAGACAGAGGAGGAGGUGUGUCAGAGGAAGCCGAAGAAGGCGCUGUUCAGCGGUGCCCUGAGACGCCGUGUAGACUCUGAUCAGCACCCGGCGCACAGCAAGAGGACUGUGCACAGAGGAUGUCACACGGAUGACACGGUGAACUCUGAGAGCAGCUCCACGUCUGAUUCUACAGGGGACCAUGACAACGGUAAGA